CACGUAGGGGGCAAGCGUUUGUCCGGAUUCAUUGGGCGUAAAGAGCUCGUAGGCGGUUCGAUAAGUCGGGGUGUGAAACCUCCAGGCUCAACCUGGAGACGCCACCCGAUACUGUCGUGACUAGAGUCCAGUAGGGGAGCGUGGAAUUCCUGGUGUAGCGGUGAAAUGCGCAGAUAUCAGGAAGAACACCAAUGGCGAAAGCAGCUCUCUGGGACGGUACUGACGCUGAGACGCGAAACGUGGGGGAGCGAACAGG
rnacentral:rRNA from 1 species